GCGUUUGUCCUUUCCUGCGCGUGCGCCAUGGUGGCGAUGGGUGGUGAUAACCACGCUGAAAGAGAGUAAGAGACACAGUAUAGUCUCCACUCCAGUGUGGUAUCGGUGGGACGAGUGUUUGGCCGGUGUCUGGCACUGUGUGGGAGUGGCACCGCCCCCCUUAUAAAAGUACAACGGUGCCACAAACCGAAUUCCGAUUAUAUACGCCUCCUGGGUUUCCGAUAGUGCUUUUAACUGAAUAUUUGUUUAUUUCAUUUGUUUAUCUUUGUGAAAAGAAAUUCCACCAGAAAAAAAUUUCACAUCUUAGAAAAAAUCUAAUAUAAAAACAUUUCAUAUUUAAAAAAAAAACAUUCUUUUAACGAUGGAAAUAUAAUAAUAAAAAUAAUAAGUCGUACAGUAACAUUUAUUAAUCAUAAUAGAC